rnacentral:rRNA from 1 species
UGGAACAGAAAUUCCACUUUCUAGCCUGAUCUCAAUAAGAUUUCAAAACCUAAGCAAGUCUGGGCCUGGUCAGUACUGCAAGGAGACUUUUAAGGAAAUUCAGGCUGCUGCUACAA